rnacentral:rRNA from 1 species
GAUGAACGCUGGCGGCGUGCCUAAUACAUGCAAGUCGAGCGAACAGAUGAGGAGCUUGCUCCUCUGACGUUAGCGGCGGACGGGUGAGUAACACGUGGAUAACCUACCUAUAAGACUGGGAUAACUUCGGGAAACCGGAGCUAAUACCGGAUAAUAUAUUGAACCGCAUGGUUCAAUAGUGAAAGACGGUUUUGCUGUCACUUAUAGAUGGAUCCGCGCCGCAUUAGCUAGUUGGUAAGGUAACGGCUUACCAAGGCAACGAUGCGUAGCCGACCUGAGAGGGUGAUCGGCCACACUAGAACUGAGACGCGGUCCCGACUCCUACGGGAGGCAGCAGUAGGGAAUCUUCCGCAAUGGGCGAAAGCCUGACGGAGCAACGCCGCGUGAGUGAUGAAGGUCUUCGGAUCGUAAAACUCUGUUAUUAGGGAAGAACAAAUGUGUAAGUAACUAUGCACGUCUUGACGGUACCUAAUCAGAAAGCCCCGGCUAACUACGUG